ensembl:snoRNA SNORA70 Small nucleolar RNA SNORA70
CUGCAGCUAAUUAAGCCUACCAGAUCCCUUAUGUCAUGGGCGCCUGGUGUGCAAUGGCUGCAAACAGCAUUCUUGGUAGUGUAUGCAACCUGUUCCUUAUAUGGGUUGCUCUAAGGGACCUCAGAGACAGUC